UUUGAUUCUUGUUUACAUUUACAUGUAUAAAGUUCACUUGGAUGUAUUGUAAUCCAGAUAAAAAUUUUGAGGGUGAUAAAUUAUACUGAGAACUAUCUACAAUGGUGACCCUGGAAAUUCCCUCAGACUAUGGCUAUGUUGUUCUAGUAUCUGUUGGCUCAGCAUUU